AGAUUCUUUAGAAUAUAGAUUGGGAUGAUGUCUAUCAGAAAAAAUUAAAGCCUCCCAUUGUGCCUAAAGUGAGUUAUGAUGGUGACACAAGGAACUUCGAUGACUACCCUGAGAACAACUGGCGAUCAACACAAGGAGUUUCCGAUGUUGAGCUAGCUAUUUUCACUGACUUUUGAAUACGUGCAUAAUUAAAAAUCUGAUGAAAAAUAAGUUGUUAACCUUUUAUAUAAUGUCAGUGAGAGUUCUGGUUCAAAGUAUUUUUCACUUUUUUGAUAUAAAGUUGUGGAAAUAACUCAUUUGUGUGAUGCUGGACCAGUAAUAUAUAUCAUAAAGAGCACCAUCCUUGGGGCUAUAAAUCUGUUACAUAUGUACAGUAAAAAUAAAUAUGUUGAAGGCACUAAAAUUCAUAUGCAGGUAAAUAAUUUUAAUUUAGUUCACACUUUAAAUUAUCUUUGAAUAUUUAUUCCAUAUAUUUCAUAAGUGAAUAAGUUGCUGGCUAGAAUACUAAGUUGCACUGUGGCUGCAUCAGUAUUUUAUCAAGUUAUUUAAGUUACAUUUCACAGUUUAUUUGUAUAUUUCACAUUUAAUUUUUUAUGAUUUUAGUAUUGUAGAUAUUUGAAGCUGAACACUUUGUUUCUUUUAUCCUUUAUGAGGUUUUAAAAGUUAUAUUGACUUUAUAUUAAUGCUGGAAACAAUUCACCAUAAACCUGUACUUAGGAGAGGACCAUUAAUGUGAUAUUUGUCCACUCUGAACCUUUCUGAACAAUAGUCCAAGACACACUGAAACAUCAUAAGUUUGUCUCCUUGGUGCAGGUCUUUGCUGAGUUUGUCCAGCCACAGUAUAAUCUUUAGCUUUGUGAUUCAUAAUAAAAAUUUUGCUUUCCUGCUUCAUCAACUUUCUUAGGUGUAGAAAAUAACUCAGAAUUGUAAUAAUGAACUUACUUUUAAAUUAUUAUAAUCAUGAAGAAGUGCUUAUUAUUAUUACAACAAACAAACAUUGAUGGUUCCUCAACACUGGCAGCAGAGGAACUUGUGCUUCCAUUAUUAUUAUUAUUAUAAUCAAGGGGGAAGCGCUAAACCCGGAGGAUUAUACAGCGCCUGGGGGGGGGGAUGUGGAAGGCAUUCAGGCUUAAUUCGGGGAACUGGAGCACAGAUCCAAUUCCCUAAAUCAAGAGCCCCUCACCAACAUCAAGGAACCUUCCUUGAGGGGACUUGUGCUUCCAGUGUCUUUAUUCUCACUUGUCGGCUCUUGCUGUUGUUUAUCUGUGCUCCCUCAAGGGAGGUUCAUUAUACCAGUGAUGGCUUUUUAUACAAAGAA